rnacentral:rRNA from 1 species
AUUGAACGCUGGCGGAAUGCUUUACACAUGCAAGUCGAACGGCAGCACGGACUUCGGUCUGGUGGCGAGUGGCGAACGGGUGAGUAAUGUAUCGGAACGUGCCCAGUCGUGGGGGAUAACGUAGUGAAAAUUACGCUAAUACCGCAUACGAUCUAUGGAUGAAAGCGGGGGAUCGCAAGACCUCGCGCGAUUGGAGCGGCCGAUAUCAGAUUAGGUAGUUGGUGGGGUAAAGGCCCACCAAGCCAACGAUCUGUAGCUGGUCUGAGAGGACGACCAGCCACACUGGAACUGAGACGCGGUCCAGACUCCUACGGGAGGCAGCAGUGGGGAAUUUUGGACAAUGGGCGAAAGCCUGAUUCAGCCAUUCCGCGUGCAGGAUGAAGGCCCUCGGGUUGUAAACUGCUUUUGUACAGAACGAAAAGGUUUCUACUAAUACUAGGAGCUCAUGACGGUACUGUAAGAGUAAGCACCGGCUAACUACGUGCCAGCCGCCGCCGUAA